UGCCAUGCAACUCCAAUCCCUACCUCCGAGUGGCACCGGCCGGGAUACGACAACCUUAAGGAAGAUCGGGAAACGAACCCUGGUGGGAACUUUGGUCGUAUGCUGAUAGGGACGG
rnacentral:ribozyme from 1 species